CUGAUCUGGAUCGACUUGAUCCUGACGUGCACCGGCACCCACCCGGCCGCCCCCAUGCAGCGGCGACUAGACACGGACAAGUAGCAAGUACCCCUUGCAAUCAGAGACACGUGGGCAUCAAAACUUUGAGAAGUAUGGAUCCAAUCAAUAACAUUCAAAUGCAUAUGAGCCCCGGGGGAUUUAGUACGCCCAAAAA